UACGAAGGGGGCUAGCGUUGCUCGGAAUUACUGGGCGUAAAGCGCACGUAGGCGGAUCUUUAAGUCAGGGGUGAAAUCCUGGAGCUCAACUCCAGAACUGCCUUUGAUACUGAGGACCUUGAGUUCGGGAGAGGUGAGUGGAACUGCGAGUGUAGAGGUGAAAUUCGUAGAUAUUCGCAAGAACACCAGUGGCGAAGGCGGCCAACUGGUCCGGUACUGACGCUGAGGCACGAAAGCGUGGGGAGCAAACAGGG
rnacentral:rRNA from 1 species